UGGGUAACCUGCCUCAAAGAGGGGAAUAGCCUCCCGAAAGGGAGAUUAAUACCGCAUAAUAUGUUUAGGUCGCAUGACUUUAACAUCAAAGGAUUUUCUUUUAGAAAUUCCACUUUGAGAUGGACCCGCGGCGCAUUAGCUAGUUGGUGAGGUAACGGCUCACCAAGGCAACGAUGCGUAGCCGACCUGAGAGGGUGAUCGGCCACAUUGGAACUGAGACACGGUCCAGCUCCUAGGAGG
rnacentral:rRNA from 1 species